rnacentral:rRNA from 1 species
UACGUAGGGUGCGAGCGUUUGUCCGGAAUUAUUGGGCGUAAAGGGCUCGUAGGCGGUUUGUCGCGUCGGGAGUGAAAUCCGACUGGCUUAACUGGUGGCUUGCUUCGAUACGGGCAGUACUGGAGGUAUGCAGGGGGAGAACGGAAUUCCUGGUGUAGCGGUGAAAUGCGCAGAUAUCAGGAGGAACGACCGCUGGCGAAGGCGGUUCUCUCGGGCGAUGUCCUGACGCUGAGGAGCGAAAGUGUGGGGAGCGAACAGG